rnacentral:tRNA from 2 species
AUUUUUCUAGUAUAUAUAGUACAAUUGACUUCCAAUCAAAAAGAUUGAUAAAUAUCAAGAAAAAUA